rnacentral:rRNA from 1 species
GUCUCUUCGGANGCUAGCGGCGGACGGGUGAGUAACACGUAGGCAACCUGCCUCUCAGACCGGGAUAACAUAGGGAAACUUAUGCUAAUACCGGAUAGGUUUUUGGAUCGCAUGAUCCGAAAAGAAAAGGCGGCUUCGGCUGUCACUGGGAGAUGGGCCUGCGGCGCAUUAGCUAGUUGGUGGGGUAACGGCCUACCAAGGCGACGAUGCGUAGCCGACCUGAGAGGGUGACCGGCCACACUGGGACUGAGACACGGCCCAGACUCCUACGGGAGGCAGCAGUGGG